rnacentral:rRNA from 1 species
CCUACGGGGGGCAGCAGUGAGGAAUAUUGGUCAAUGGGCGGGAGCCUGAACCAGCCAAGUCGCGUGAGGGAAGACGGUCCUAUGGAUUGUAAACCUCUUUAGGCGGGGAGCAAUGCCGGGCACGUGUGCCCGGAGGGAGAGUACCCGUAGAAUAAGCAUCGGAUAACUCCGUCCCAGCAGCCGCGGUAGUUCGUAGGAUGCGAGCGUUAUCCGGAUUGAUUGGGUUAAAAGGUUGCGUAGGCGGAUUUUUAAGUCAGCGGUAAAAUGUCCGGGCUCAACCCGGGCCGGCCGUUGAAACUGGGGAUCUUGAGUGGGCGAGAGGUAUGCGGAAUGCGUGGUGUAGCGGUGAAAUGCGUAGAUAUCACGCAGAACUCCGAUUGCGAAGGCAGCAUACCGGCGCCCGACUGACGCUGAGGCACGAAAGCGUGGGGAUCGAACAGGAUUAGAUACCCGAGUAGUC